UACAGGGGGUGCAAACGUUGCUCGGAAUUAUUGGGCGUAAAGAGCUCGUAGGUGGUUUGUCGCGUUGUUCGUGAAAACCUGAGGCUUAACCUUGGGCGUGCGGGCGAUACGGGCAGACUGGAGUACUGCAGGGGAGACUGGAAUUCCUGGUGUAGCGGUGGAAUGCGCAGAUAUCAGGAGGAACACCGGUGGCGAAGGCGGCCACCUGGACAGUAACUGACGCUGAGAUGCGAAAGCGUGGGGAGCAAACAGG
rnacentral:rRNA from 1 species